GGGGAAUUUUCCGCAAUGGGCGUAAGCCUGACGGAGCAAGACCGCGUGGGGGAAGAAGGUUUGUGGAUUGUAAACCCCUUUUGACAGGGAAGAAAUUUGACGGUACCUGUCGAAUAAGCCUCGGCUAACUCCGUGCCAGCAGCCGCGGUAAUACGGAGGAGGCAAGCGUUAUCCGGAAUUAUUGGGCGUAAAGCGUCCGUAGGUGGAUAUUCGUGUCAGUUGUUAAAGGAUGCGGCUUAACCGCGUAAAGGCGAUUGAAACUGGGUAUCUAGAGUGCGAUAGGGGCAAGGGGAAUUCCCAGUGUAGCGGUGAAAUGCGUAGAUAUUGGGAAGAACACCGGUGGCGAAAGCGCCUUGCUGGGUCUGCACUGACACUGAGGGACGAAAGCUAGGGGAGCGAAAGGGAUUAGAUACCCCUGUAGUC
rnacentral:rRNA from 1 species